UAAUACGUAGGGACCAAGCGUUGUCCGGAUUUAUUGGGCGUAAAGAGCUCGUAGGCGGUUUUGUAAGUCGGGAGUUAAAACAUCAGGCUCAACCUGGUGUCGCUUUUGAUACUGCAAUGACUUGAGUGUGGCAGGGGAAGACAGAAUUCCACGUGUAGCGGUGAAAUGCGCAGAUAUGUGGAGGAAUACCGAUGGCGAAGGCAGUCUUCUGGGCCAAUACUGACGCUGAGGAGCGAAAGCGUGGGGAGCGAACAGGAUUAGAUACCCUGGUAGUCCACGCCGUAAACGGUGGGUACUAGGUGUGGGGAGUAACCAACACUUUCCGCGCCGUCGCUAACGCAUUAAGUACCCCGCCUGGGGAGUACGGCCGCAAGGCUA
rnacentral:rRNA from 1 species